rnacentral:tRNA from 1 species
GCGGGCGUGGUUCAGUGGUAGAACGCUACCUUGCCAAGGUAGAGAUGGGAGUUCGAUUCUCCUCGCCCGCUCCA